UUUCUUUUCUUUAAUUUCCUUCUUCCCUUUCCUCGCCGAAACCCCCCGCGCGUCUCUCUUCCUUUCCCCGCCGAAGCCCUCUUGAGCCCUAACCGUCGGCAGUUCCUCCUCUCCCUCGUGUGCAUAAGGUCGGGACCAAGAGAAGCCGACAUUUCUCUUCUCCCUCUCCUCAGCCGAGCGACCUCCCUUGUGCCCUAGCGAGCCCGACGCCGAUUUCUCUUUUUCCUCUUCUCUCCCGAGCCGCACACUGCCGGCCGCUUGUCCUCAGCAAAGGAGCGCGUCGCCGAUCGCCGUGCCCUAGCCGAUGCCACCACCACCGUCUUCCUCAGCCCUAGCAUCGAUCAAGUUCCCAUCUCUGCCCUAGCACCGGCUGUGGCCAUUGUUCCUUGCCGACGCCGCUGUCAUCGCUCAACCUGAGCAGCGCCUCUGCCCUAGAUCGGAUCUACUUCAAUCGUUGAGGCGCAGAUCUGCUGCCAUAGAAGCCACAUGUUUCAGCAGGGCCUCGCCUGAUCUAUGGUCAUCAUAGGAAGUUAGGGGAAGAGGUUAUUUCUUGGGUUCCAACAACUAUCCCUAUUCUGGCAGCAACAUCACCGGCUGAGGCUUCAGAAUUAGGAGUUUGACGCAAGACGAGUAUCUCGACGUCGGAUUUGGACUGGAUACGACCCUUAUAUU